UCAAGAUAAUGUCAUUGGGAUGCCCCCUCCUCACAGUCAUAUUAUUGAGCUAAUGCACUGAGCGGGGUCCUUGGGCCCAAGGAACAGACCAUAUGGUGCCUGAGUAAAAUUAGCUCAUUCUUCUACCACUAAGCAGGGAAGUAGACAAGGAAGUUGUGGGUGCUGUAAAGACCCAUACCAGACUGGUGUUGAAGGUGCUGUAAAGACCCAUACCAGACUGGUGUUGAAGGUACUGUAAAGACCCAUACCAGACUGGUGUUGAAGGUACUGUAAAGACCCAUACCAGACUGGUGUUGAAGGUACUGUAAAGACCCAUACCAGACUGGUGUUGAAGGUACUGUAAAGACCCAUACCAGACUGGUGUUGAAGGUACUGUAAAGACCCAUACCAGACUGGUGUUGAAGGUACUGUAAAGACCCAUACCAGACUGGUGUUGAAGGUACUGUAAAGACCCAUACCAGACUGGUGUUGAAGGUACUGUAAAGACCCAUACCAGACUGGUGUUGAAGGUACUGUAAAGACCCAUACCAGACUGGUGUUGAAGGUACUGUAAAGACCCAUACCAGACUGGUGUUGAAGGUGCUGUAAAGACCCAUACCAGACUGGUGUUGAAGGUGCUGUAAAGACCCAUACCAGACUGGUGUUGAAGGUGCUGUAAAGACCCAUACCAGACUGGUGUUGAAGGUGCUGUAAAGACCCAUACCAGACUGGUGUUGAAGGUGCUGUAAAGACCCAUACCAGACUGGUGUUGAAGGUGCUGUAAAGACCCAUACCAGACUGGUGUUGAAGGUGCUGUAAAGACCCAUACCAGACUGGUGUUGAAGGUGCUGUAAAGACCCAUACCAGACUGGUGUUGAAGGUGCUGUAAAGACCCAUACCAGACUGGUGUUGAAGGUGCUGUAAAGACCCAUACCAGACUGGUGUUGAAGGUGCUGUAAAGACCCAUACCAGACUGGUGUUGAAGGUGCUGUAAAGACCCAUA